rnacentral:rRNA from 1 species
GCAGUCGAGCGGAGAGAAGAGCUUGCUCUUCGAUUCAGCGGCGGACGGGUGAGUAAUGCCUAGGAAUCUGCCUGGUAGUGGGGGACAACGUUUCGAAAGGAACGCUAAUACCGCAUACGUCCUACGGGAGAAAGCAGGGGACCUUCGGGCCUUGCGCUAUCAGAUGAGCCUAGGUCGGAUUAGCUAGUUGGUGAGGUAAUGGCUCACCAAGGCGACGAUCCGUAACUGGUCUGAGAGGAUGAUCAGUCACACUGGAACUGAGACACGGUCCAGACUCCUACGGGAGGCAGCAGUGGGGAAUAUUGGACAAUGGGCGAAAGCCUGAUCCAGCCAUGCCGCGUGUGUGAAGAAGGUCUUCGGAUUGUAAAGCACUUUAAGUUGGGAGGAAGGGCAUUAACCUAAUACGUUAGUGUUUUGACGUUACCGACAGAAUAAGCACCGGCUAACUCUGUGCCAGCAGCCGCGGUAAUACAGAGGGUGCAAGCGUUAAUCGGAAUUACUGGGCGUAAAGCGCGCGUAGGUGGUUUGUUAAGUUGGAUGUGAAAGCCCCGGGCUCAACCUGGGAACUGCAUCCAAAACUGGCAAGCUAGAGUACGGUAGAGGGUGGUGGAAUUUCCUGUGUAGCGGUGAAAUGCGUAGAUAUAGGAAGGAACACCAGUGGCGAAGCGACCACCUGGACUGAUACUGACACUGAGGUGCGAAAGCGUGGGGAGCAAACAGGAUUAGAUACCCUGGUAGUCCACGCCGUAAACGAUGUCAACUAGCCUUGGAAUCCUUGAGAUUUUAGUGGCGCACUACGCAUAAGUUGACCGCCUGGGGAGUACGCCGCAAGGUAAAACUCAAAUGAAUUGACGGGGCCCGCACAAGCGGUGGACAGUGGUUUAAUUCGAAGCAACGCGAAAACCUUACCGCCUUGCUGCAAAAUUUCAAUGGAUUGGGCCUUGGAUCUGACGCUGCAGGUGUCGUCAGCUCGCGGAGUGGGAUCCACAGCCGCCACGGGGUCCCGGACGUGA